GAACGCAAAUUGCACUCUCUGGUAUUCCGGAGAGUAUGCCUGUUUGAGGGUCAGUUAAAACAAAAAUCGAUGUGUCGCUUUUGUGACGCUUCGGAAUUGGGUCACCUUGAUCUCUGGGUUUAAGAGGCCUAAAAUUGAUACCUUUCCGAGCAUCUUGGACGUACGUAACCUCUCAAGUGCCGGAUCUUUUUACUAGGUAUGACCAUGCUGUGCGUGGCUCUCGUACCCAUAACGUGUAUUCAUAUUUUGACCUCAAAUCAGGUAGGAACACCCGCUGAACUUAAG
rnacentral:misc_RNA from 1 species